rnacentral:tRNA from 1 species
ACCGUCCCCGGGCCGCCGGCGGGCAGCCCGCCCGCCACGGGCGACUGGGCCCGGUCCAAGGAGCUGUUCCGGGCCGCCGGGGCGGUG